AAACAGUCCUUUUUUAAUAGAUAUACCUAUACUGGAAAUUACCUAGAAAUAUCUGCCAUAAAAUGCAAACCUGUAUAAGAGCAGAUAAAAUAAACCCUCAGGAAAAAAUUUGCACAAGCUGUCAUCCUUUUAAAAGGUAAUAAUGUGCCCCUUUUGAUAUGGAGCAAUUGCAUAAGGAGAAAAAUCCUCUAAUAUUCUUCUAACAUAAAAAUUUAACAUUUCUGUAACCAUGCUGCAAUACUCUGCAAUAUACCACCUCAAUAAUCUGAAUUCAUAAGACUGAAUUCUCUUCUAAUACUUAAGAUUAUCUAUCACUGUACCAUAAAAAAUUAUGGUGUGGCCACUGGUUAAGAAAUGUUCAUUGGAGCAGCAGCAUCACAGAAAAACAUGGAGACAAAAACUGCGCCCAGCUGGUGGAAUGACCUCUUGAGUCUUUACUCAUUUUCAAGGAACAUCUAAAGACUCAUCUUUUUCGCCAGCACUUAACCAACUAAUACUAGCACUUUUCCUUCUUUUCAAAAAAUAAAACCUUGCAUUGCGUUCUGUACUAGACUAACUGAGACUUGUCAUGGCACUUGUAUACCGUUGUUGUUCUCUUGUUGACCUGACCGCUUCUAUUGUUCUCAUUUGUAAGAUGCUUUGGAUAAAAGCGUCUACUAAAUGAUAAAUGUAAAUGUAAAAGGUGUCAGGUUCUCAGAGACUUCCAAACAUGGCCUCCACGUAAUAAGAAUCACAAGCUGAACUGUCAUGAAGUGUAAUGAAAGCAUGAAAAAAAAUUAGUUUAAAUAUCUCACCUAUUGCAUUUUCAUAUAAUAAUAUUAGAUAGCUGUUAAGUUGCUAAUUUAGCAGUAAGCUGUUUAAAAUAAUUCAAAUUAAGCAGAUUUCUUCUGCCACCUUGAGAUCAAUCUAAAUACAACGUCAACAGAAACCAGUCCCUAUUUUGCUAAUGUCAACAGCACUAAAAUAUUUAAAUAUUUUGUUCUUGACCCUCUGUCUGUAAAAAUUACUUGUAGCACUUGUAACAUUUAAAGAUAACAUUGAACUUCUGAUGAAAAGGCUUUUAGGUAGUUUUCUACUUCCAUCUGGAUUUAUAUGUAGAUGUAUAUUUAGCAAAGUGCAAAAGACUGCAAAAGUUUAGACAUAUAGUAUGUUAUCAUCAGCAUAAGAGAUUUGCCCCGUUGAAUUUUGCAAACCAAAU